rnacentral:tRNA from 1 species
UAGCUCAGUUGCUAGAGUGUUUGCCUUGCAUGCACAAGGCCCUGGGUUCAAUCCCCAG